AUUGAACGCUGGCGGCAGGCCAACACAUGCAAGUCGAGCGAGCGGCGGACGGGUGAGUAAUGUAUGGGGACCUGCCUGAUAGAGGGGGAUAACUACUGGAAACAGUGCUAUACCGCAUACAAUUAGAUGGGCCGAUGUGGGAUUAGCUAGUCGGUGGGGUAACGGCUCACCAAGGCAACGAUCCGUAGCUGGUUUGAGAGGACGACCAGCCACUCUGGGACUGAGACACGGCCCAGACUCCUACGGGAGGCAGCAGUGGGGAAUUUUGGACAAUGGGGGAAAGCCUGAUGCAGCCAUGCCGCGUGUAUGAUGAAGGCUUCGGGUUGUAAAGUACUUUUGGCAGAGAAGCGGUAUCUGCAGAAUAAGCACCGGCUAACUACGUGCCAGCAGCCGCGGUAAUAC
rnacentral:rRNA from 1 species